AGCAGCCGCGGUAAUUCCAGCUCCAAUAGCGUAUAUUAAAGUUGUUGCAGUUAAAAAGCUCGUAGUUGAAUUUCGGGAUUAGUACGCUGGUCGUGCCUUCGGUAUGUACUGGUGUUACUGAUUCCUACCUUCUGAUGAAUCGUCAUGUCAUUCAUUUGGUGUGGCGGGGAAUCAGGACUGUUACUUUGAAAAAUUAGAGUGUUUAAAGCAGGCUCGCGCUUGAAUACAUUAGCAUGGAAUAAUGAAAUAGGACGUUCGAUCCUAUUUUGUUGGUUUCUAGGAUUGACGUAAUGAUUAAUAGGGAUAGUUGGGGGCAUUAGUAUUCAAUUGUCAGAGGUGAAAUUCUUGGAUUUAUUGAAGACUAACUACUGCGAAAGCAUUUGCCAAGGAUGUUUUCAUUAAUCAAGAACGAAAGUUAGGGGAUCGAAGACGAUCAGAUACCGUCGUAGU
rnacentral:rRNA from 1 species